rnacentral:rRNA from 1 species
GAUGAACGCUGGCAGCGUGCCUAAUACAUGCAAGUCGAGCGAACAGACGAGGAGCUUGCUCCUCUGACGUUAGCGGCGGACGGGUGAGUAACACGUGGAUAACCUACCUAUAAGACUGGGAUAACUUCGGGAAACCGGAGCUAAUACCGGAUAACAUGUUGAACCGCAUGGUUCAACAGUGAAAGACGGUUUUGCUGUCACUUAUAGAUGGAUCCGCGUCGCAUUAGCUAGUUGGUAAGGUAACGGCUUACCAAGGCAACGAUGCGUAGCCGACCUGAGAGGGUGAUCGGCCACACUGGAACUGAGACACGGUCCAGACUCCUACGGGAGGCAGCAGUAGGGAAUCUUCCGCAAUGGGCGAAAGCCUGACGGAGCAACGCCGCGUGAGUGAAGAAGGUCUUCGGAUCGUAAAACUCUGUUAUUAGGGAAGAACAAAUGUGUAAGUAACUAUGCACGUCUUGACGGUACCUAAUCAGAAAGCCACGGCUAACUACGUG